AAGAUUCCCACAUGUUUUCUCGGUGACCAUCAGAGACUCUUCGUGCAGGGAGCUGAUGAAGACAGUCAGCCCAGGACAAAACUGACCUAGCUAGAGGAUGAAGGAACCUAGUCUGUGUAGAGGAGGCAGCAAAGCACAUCAGUACCACUUCUGGGAGCCACCUCUGCAGCAACUCUUCCUCAGCCACCCAGGAGCAGAUGCAAACAGGUGGCCCAUGACCAGGUCCUUUGAGUAUAUAUUAUGGCUUCCAGUUUAAUGUUUUUAUAGGACCCCUGAGUGUGCAGACGAGUGGGUCUCUGCAUCUGUAUCUGUUUCUUGUGCCUUUUAUGGCGCUCUUUUCCUUCUAUUGGUUUGUUUUGUCCUUUUCAGAUGUGUUAGUUUUUGUUCUCUUUUAUUUUAUUAUUAUCCCUUAGAUGCCUGUUUGUUUUCUAAAGAGAGACAGAAAGGGAAUAGAUCCAGAUGGGAAGUGAGGUGAGGAGGAACUUUGGAGGGGGCGGCACGUGUAGCGGGAGGGGAAACCGUAAUCAGGAUAUAUGAGGGAAAAGUCUAUUUUCAAUGAAAGGAAAAAUAAAGAUAAGAGAAAUAAUUUUUUUUUUAUCCAGGUGCAGUGAUGCAUGCUUGUAAUCCCAGCAGUCAGGAGCCUGAGGCAGGAGGAUUGUAAAUUUGAGUCCAGCUUGGUUACAUAGGAAGUGCCAGGCCAGGAUGGGCUGCACAGCAAGAAAAUGUCUAACUGAAGAAGGAAGAGCACGAGGAGGAGGAGGGGGAUGGAGGGAGGAGGGAGAGGGAGGGAGAGAGGGAAGAAGGGAGGAAGGGAGGAAGAGGAUUUAAAGGGAUAAUAGUACCAACUUUACAUGACUUUCUGACGAAGGAGAGGAGGGGCUGGGGCCAAGUCUGCAUGUUCUAAAGCACGGAGUAAUGGAAUUCCAUGUGGAGCGCUGAUAUUAGUACCAGAAACUAAGAACCAUCUUGUUUGUGGAGGAAUGUUUUGUAAAAUUGUCCAGAUCACAGCGAAAAGAAGGAAAAGAGAACCUACCAUCGCCAUUGCCGGCCCAUCAGAUCAUUUCCUGGGUCUUGCUGGCAAUAUCUGACCUGGGAGGUCACAGAAAGCCCCUGUGAGAACCCCCCCAUUCUAAUAUUCAUAAUCUAGUUGUUAAAUGUGAUCAAUAUAUUUUUCUUGUCUAAAUAAUUCCUUACUAUUCAUGGUAGGAAAUUUUGAAAGUACAAAUAAGCAAAAAGAAGAAAACAUAACUAAUGUGUCUUCUCACCCGGUGACAUGUCAUUCUUCCACUUUUUCUGCAAUGUCUAAGCUUUCUGUUGUUAAAUUGUAGCUUGUAGAAUGGUAGCAUUGGUUUGAGGCAUAUCUAUAUUAGAUUAUGCAUUUGCUAUGCAUGUUCAUAUGCGUAUGCUAUGCUGGCUCAAUGAGAAUGACACACUGGAAAGAGUUCCUUAUAGGAAUCAUGACCGUUUGACUCACAUUACCUCUUGAAUGUGUCGUUAACCCAGAUGUCUUUGUACAAAGAAAGCUAGGGCCCAUACCUAUUUGUUUCUCAGCCCCCAACAUAAUCAUCUACCUUAACAGAACUUCUAAGAAUUUCCGUUGUUAUUAUUUGGGGUUUUUUUUUUUCUGUUUUCUUUUGUUUCCAGUGCUGAGAAUUAAACCCAAGGCCUUAUGCAUGCUGAGCAAGCACUCUACCAUUGAGCUCCAUCUCCAGACACUGCUGAACCCAAACAUUAUCAUUUUUCCCUUUUGCCUUCCAGUGCUGUACGGCUGUGAUGCACAUUGGAUAAUGGUACACGGAUGCACGUGUAAACUAUUUCUUAGAACUCUAAUCACUUUCACAGCAAUCUAUCCACACCGGCAGUAAAUUAUAUAAUAGCCAAUGUGCCCAGGACUGGUCCUUGCCAUGAGAAACAGUUGUUCGUUAGAGUCCACAGAUUAGAGACAAUCAUAUAACAUGUCAGCAGAUGUGUUCACAGGCUUUAACAGAGCUGGAGGGGGACUUAAAAAUGAGUAUGCACCUUUCUCCACCAUGACAUCCUUCCCUUUACAGAUGGGGACAUGUCUGCAGACUCAGCCUGAGCCAAAGGCCUCUUUCAGAAACCCACAUGUUUGUUCCUGAGUCCCCGCAUGACUUCUUAGUGAUCUUUGUACCUUCUGAUUUGGAUACAUGCCUGGAGUUGUCAUUGAGUUAACAUUAAAUCACUUUAUUUUGGGGAAUUGACCUUCCUUGGGGGAAAGAGGGUGAAUAGGUGAGACAGGGUCUCUCUAUGUAGCCCUGACUGUUCUGGAACUCACUAAGUAGACCAAACUAGCCUCAAACACAGAGAUCCACCUAGCUCUGCAUCCCGAGUUCUGGGACUAAAGGUGUACACCACCAUGCCUGGCUGGAGGUAAUUCUUUACGUAGCCCAGGCUGACCUCAAACUUGUGACCAAGGAUGACCCUGAACUUCUGAUCCUCCUGCCUCCCAGAUUAUAGGUACCCAGCAGCACACUCAAGCUCAUGCAGUGCUGAGGAUGGAACACAGAACGUUGUGCAUGCUAGGCAGGCAUUCUACCAACUGAGCUACAGCCCCAGCCCCAUUGUAAAUCAUUGUGCUUACACUAUCUUCCUCCAAAAGUAAAAAAUCACUAAGAGAAAGUGACAAGACUUAGGAACUUUACCAGCCCCAAAGAGUUAAGAGGGGGCUGGUGAUGUCAGGGAGAGCCCACGGCUGCCUGGACAGGAAAAGAACUCAGGGCUGUUUUUCUUCUCUGAAAACCAAUCCCUGUUGAGUCUCGUGGGCUCUUUAAACCAAAUGUCUUUACAGCUUGAAAUGAAUAACUACAUGACCUCAGCCUUCACGCAUGCAGGCCCUGCUGUUAUACCUGGAGCCUGGCUGCUCCGGGGGCAUCCCGUAAAUAACCCGGGUCUGUACAACACAUGUUGGAGACAAGCUGCCAUCAGAAAUGGUUUCAGCUGGAAAGCCAGAGACUGUCUCUGUGAACACUACAGUCAUCUGGGAUCGAUUUCUCCACUCCCAUUAAGCCCAGACCCUGGCUCCAUUUGCAUUGCUGAGACCAUCAUACGGAACUCAUUUUUAUUGCUUGGAUGUUGGUCUCUCAACCACAUCAAUUACAGCCCUUUGUGUUACCAUUGGAUGAGUGUGAAAUGAAAUGUUGACAGCUUUGUUCUGUGAAGCAGUUCACAGAUUGUGUGGAGAUGGAAUACUGUGUUCGUUGUGAGACUAAAGGAAGAAAAAUUAUAACUAUGGACUUUAGGCUAAAAAGACAAAUCAACUCCCUCAAAACACAA